AGAGUUUGAUCCUGGCUCAGGAUGAACGCUGGCGGCGUGCCUAACACAUGCAAGUCGAGCGAUCUUCUUCGGAAGAGAGCGGCGGACGGGUGAGUAACGCGUGGGUAACCUGCCCUGUACACACGGAUAACAUACCGAAAGGUAUGCUAAUACGGGAUAACAUAAGAAAUUCGCAUGUUUUUCUUAUCAAAGCUCCGGCGGUACAGGAUGGACCCGCGUCUGAUUAGCUAGUUGGUAAGGUAACGGCUUACCAAGGCGACGAUCAGUAGCCGGACUGAGAGGUUGAUCGGCCACAUUGGGACUGAGACACGGCCCAGACUCCUACGGGAGGCAGCAGUGGGGAAUAUUGCACAAUGGAGGAAACUCUGAUGCAGCGAUGCCGCGUGAGGGAAGAAGGUUUUAGGAUUGUAAACCUCUGUCUUCAGGGACGAAAAAAGACGGUACCUGAGGAGGAAGCUCCGGCUAACUACGUGCCAGCAGCCGCGGUAAUACGUAGGGAGCGAGCGUUGUCCGGAAUUACUGGGUGUAAAGGGAGCGUAGGCGGGAUCGCAAGUCAGAUGUGAAAACUAUGGGCUUAACCCAUAAACUGCAUUUGAAACUGUGGUUCUUGAGUGAAGUAGAGGUAAGCGGAAUUCCUAGUGUAGCGGUGAAAUGCGUAGAUAUUAGGAGGAACAUCAGUGGCGAAGGCGGCUUACUGGGCUUUAACUGACGCUGAGGCUCGAAAGCGUGGGGAGCAAACAGGAUUAGAUACCCUGGUAGUCCACGCCGUAAACGAUGAUUACUAGGUGUGGGGGGACUGACCCUUUCCGUGCCGCAGCAAACGCAAUAAGUAAUCCACCUGGGGAGUACGACCGCAAGGUUGAAACUCAAAGGAAUUGACGGGGGCCCGCACAAGCAGUGGAGUAUGUGGAUUAAUUCGAAGCAACGCGAAGAACCUUACCAGGUCUUGACAUCGUAUGCAUAGCUCAGAGAUGAGUGAAAUCUCUUCGGAGACAUAUAGACAGGUGGUGCAUGGUUGUCGUCAGCUCGUGUCGUGAGAUGUUGGGUUAAGUCCCGCAACGAGCGCAACCCUUACUGUUAGUUGCUACGCAAGAGCACUCUAGCAGGACUGCCGUUGACAAAACGGAGGAAGGUGGGGAUGACGUCAAAUCAUCAUGCCCCUUAUGACCUGGGCCUCACACGUACUACAAUGGCUGUUAACAGAGGGAUGCAAAGCCGCGAGGUGGAGCGAACCCCUAAAAGCAGUCUUAGUUCGGAUUGUAGGCUGCAACCCGCCUACAUGAAGUCGGAAUUGCUAGUAAUCGCAGAUCAGCAUGCUGCGGUGAAUACGUUCCCGGGCCUUGCACACACCGCCCGUCA
rnacentral:rRNA from 1 species